AUGAGUGACAAGCAAAAGGGUUUGAUUGCUGCAGUGCAGAAAGUGUUCCCUCAUUCUGAGCACAAACAUUGUGUGAGGCACAUAUAUCAGAAUUUCCACAAAGUACACAAGGGUGAAACAUUGAAGAAUGAUUUAUGGGCAAUAGCAAGAUCUACAAACAAAAUUGCUUACCACAAAAACAUGGAGCAAAUAAAGGAACACAGUUUAGAUGCUUACAAGUGGGUUGAGAAGUUGUCUCCAAGAACAUGGAUAAAGGCUUUCUUUAACCAUUUCUGCAAAUGUGACAUCCUCCUCAACAAUAUGUCUGAGGUGCUCAACAGCUAUAUUCUGGAUGGAAGAGAUCUGCCAAUAAAGUCCAUGUUAGAUUAUAUUUUCCAUAAACUAGCAAACAGGAUAGUUGGCAAACAAAGGGAAUCUGAGAAGUGGACUGGUCGGCUGUGCCCCAAAAUUCAGAAGAAACUAGACAAAUAUAUAGAAUGGGCAAAGAACUGCAUGGUUACUGAGUAUGGGAAAGGUGUUUUCCAGGUUUUGUCUCUGAAUAAUACAUAUGUUGUGGAUUUGAACAUGAACAGUUGUGACUGCAACAGAUGGGAACUCUCAGCCAUCCCAUGCCAUCAUGCCAUUGCAUGUUUCAGACAUGAAAGGAUUGAGCCAGAGAGCAUGGUGCAUGACUGUUAUAGUGUUGAGAACUACAAGAGUUGCUAUGGCUGGAACCUUAUGCCUAUGAGGGACAUGAAGCAUUGGGAGAAAAUGAAUGCAUAG
rnacentral:rRNA from 1 species